rnacentral:lncRNA from 1 species
CUUUAAAGAUUCCUUUUUAAAACUAAUGUUAUUGUUAUUAUCCUUGCCUCAAUAUUUUGGCAGUUAAUGCAAAAGUGAGAAUUUUUGCUCAUUUGUCUGUUUAAAAUGCUUUCCUAGUUCUGAGAAAUAAUUAUAAUACGAGUUAAUAAUAUGCUUUUCUAGAGUUAGGAAAACCCUCAAAUUGUCAAAUCUGAAUGAACUGUCUCCAUGGAAAUUUAAAGAUAAAGCAAAAUAUGUAGGACCAAUCUGAAAAAAAAAAAACAAUUUUUAAUAAAGAUAAAGUAAGUUUAUGCAGAAUAAGAGGUAAGAUUUCCAAUACCUCUACUGUUCCUCCUCUCACUUUUUUUUUCCCCCUCCUUCCUUACUUUGGGACUAUCAUUUGCCAGAAGUGAUUACCAAAGACAAAAAAAAAAAAAAAAAGGUUUUCUCCUGUAUUUCAAGUUCUUGUUAGCACAGAGGUCUGGAAUGUUAAUUACAGAACUCAAUUAUCUCAAGUUAAAAUUCUAUUAACCAUGCAGGAAAGAAAUGGAGUUGUCAAGGUAAAAUGAGCUAAGCGAAGUGAAGAGUGGAUGGGCUACGGUCAUAGGAUGGAUACAGUGAGUAAUGGAUUUUCUGUUAACAGAUUUCCUGAGAGAUAGCUACUUCGUUUCCAUCUGCCUGGGGAUUUCAAGUCCUACCUUUCCUAGUCUCUAUAGAAAAAUCAAUAUAAGCAAUUUGUUAUAGAAGGAAGAAAGUCAUUCAACAUGAGUAAAGGCAUUCAACAUGAGCUACAUCUAGUCUAGGGAGACCCACUGCCUCUGUGUGGGACAGACAGAACAAGAAGGGUUUUGGUCAGCUAGGAGUUAAGCAGCUCACCUUCUCCUGACGAUUAUGUCUGCAAUGGUG